UGGAUAUCAGAAUCAAGCAAUUCUCUCUCUGGGGACUCGGUAGCCAAGAUGUCUGUGUUUGCUCAUUCCCUCUGUACCCUGAAAUGACCACCUUCUUAGUUCUCCCUUCUGAACACUGGGUGGACUACGAGGGUCAGGCACAGGCCGGUCCUGCUCACUGUCCUCUCCUGAGGGAAAGUGUGAUGGCUUCAGCUCCUGAUGAGCCUCCUCAGGCUGUUCCCUGAGCAGUGGUGGCCAGUGACCCCUUGGGCGGGGGGGGUGCCUGGCUUGGAGAGCCUACUGCCUAGGGGUCUACCAGAUGGCCUGUUUCCUAGAGCUGCCUUGGAUUUCCAAUGACCUUCCAGUUCCAUGCCUGCAAGGCCUCCC
rnacentral:lncRNA from 1 species